rnacentral:rRNA from 1 species
UCUUUUUCGUCCCCGGGAUAAACUAGCCGAAAGGUUAGCUAAUACCUGAUACGAUCAUCGAGUGGCAUCAUUUGAUGAUGAAAGCAGCAAUGCGCGGAUUGAGGGGGCUGCGGCCCAUUAGCUAGUUGGUGAGGUAACGGCCCACCAAGGCAACGAUGGGUAGCUGGUCUGAGAGGAUGAUCAGCCACACUGGGACUGAGAUACGGCCCAG